UUUAUUUUUUGUCAAUAUCAUUUUAAACGAACAUUUGACUCGUUAAUUUACCUGUUAGCUACUGUUACAAGCUGAAAUCAAUACCUACAGGCUAUCAUGGCUUUUAACUGUGGAAAAAAAUAACUAAUCUGAACUAAAAACAUUUUUUUUCUGAUCCAAGGAAGUUAGUGUUAUUGCAUUUCCAUUGCAAGAAUAGCAUGCAUGUCAGCAUCUUUAUUAAAGUGUAUUUGUGUGAAUCUCUCUCAUAAAUACACACACAGGAACAUUUUAGCCAAGAAUUACUGCUGACCGUUAUGUAUUUGUGUUUUACAGGAGGAUCUGGUGGCCGCAAGGAAAACCCUAUUUGGCAAGCAAAACUUUUUCUCCUUCCAGGGCCAGAUAAUGGUUUUCUGCCCCCCACAAUAGAACUUGAGGAACUGGCUAAACAUAGAUUAGGAAAACCUGUGCACGAGUCAACGGAGGCCGGACGCACAAACUCAAGGAUUGGGUUAAACUGGAGUUUAUCUGUAUUAAACAACUUUGUUUGCCAAAGCUACCCUCGCAUCAGUUUAAAUUUAAUAGGCUUUGAAUUGGCAAGGACAGGCAAAGGACGCAAGAUCCAGAAAUUGCAAGUUAGUUCUGUGAAGGAACUAAAAGCAGUUGUUGGCAAAAGCAGGCUUUACAUCGUGCCACGAGCCACUGUCUUCAAGGUAACAUCACCACCCUCUGCCAUGUCCCAGAAUUCAUUCCAACCACUCGCAGCUCCAGCAGUAGAUGAGACCUCACAAGUGGUUUCAGAUCAGGUGGCAUCCACAUCCUCUGCCAUAUCCAUGAAUUCAUUCCCACCACUCUCAAUUGCUCCGGUACAAGAUGAGACCACGCCUGUGGCUGAGAGUACCCAAGCUCAAAGUGUGGUUGCAAAUCAGGCUCUUCAAGAAUGGCGAGCAAUACGUGCCCAGCAAGACCAGGAGUAUAAUACAAGUUUGUUGGUGGAUCAGGAGAAGGAGAGGAAGAAACUAGUCUAUCAGGCUUGUGAGGAAAGAUGUCAAAAGGCUAUUGAGGCAAGACGUCAGCGAAUGUCUGCAUGUGAGGAACCCUCAGAUGGGGUGUUGAUCAAAUUUAAAUAUCCAAAUGGACACACCUAUAUGAGGAAAUUCCGUUUGUCGGAGCCAAUCCAGGUGAUGUGUGUUCAGCUUGAGAAAAUAUCAAGUGUCUUCUCAGUGGUUCAGUGGGUUGUAAAACUUGACUGUUUCACAUCUUUUUAGAUCUUGUUUGACUUUGUGGGACAAGAUAAUAUUGCCAGUGAAAUCUUUGUGGUGCAAGAAGCUGCAUCAUCAAGAUCAGUUGAGAGCAGUUGCUCCGGGUCAAUAAUGGAUCAUGGCAUAAAAGCAUCCUCAGCUCUAUAUGUGCUUUGGUUUUCAAAUAAGGAUGUACAGGUAAAUGUGUUGCAUUUUUAUUUCUUGACUCAAAUGAAAAUGGAAUGUGUUUUGGUUUGUGCAAGCUCAUGUUUUAUGCAUGUUUGUCUUCAGGAAAUUCUCUCAGAUCAACAAAAUGAUGGAGCUUAUGCCCUACACCAUACAUCUCAUGGUCAGUCAUAACUGUCUGAGACCUCCACCCAGCCAAGUCUCUCUGUGCCCUCAUUCCAGCCACCGCUGCCUGAGCCCUCCACCCGCUCACCGCUGCCUGAGCCCUCCACCCAGCCACCGCUCACUCUGUUCUCACAACCACAAGAAAUCCUGACUCUUUAUGAUGAACCAUCACUCUCUCCUUCAUCUGCCCAAGAACCAAUCAUUAUUCUUGAUGAACAAGAUGAGUCGUUUUCACAAAAUCAGUCUCCUGUAUCAACACAUCACCUCAGAGGACCUGUGGAUGAGUGUGUUUUUCUCAUUAACUUGAUUUUAUAUUUUUCUAGUGUAUGUAGAUGUUUCAUUUUCUGUAUCCUAUUACAUUUAAUCAGGUGGUUAACUUAAAAUGCAUGAACUUCUUUGUUUGCAGGAUUGAUCUACAGACCAUAUUGAAAAAAAUGGUCAGCAAAGUUGAUGGAAGAUUCUGUCCAACAAGCAACCAAAUAAAUGUGUGCAGGGAUAAUGUUUUACUGUGUAG
ensembl:lncRNA